AUUUGCUGUUAAAGGGGUGGGAUCGAAAUUGGGAUCAAUCUGUUUGAGAUAUAAUUCAUGGGCAAGCAACUUAUCUUGAAGUUCGUCAAAUGAAAUGACAGUAUCUCUGGCAUGGGUUGCCGCUGUAAUGUCAUGGAACUCUAAGCCAAUUCCACCCAGGACAUGAACGAUGAGAUCAACAUCAUAUACGGGACUGCCACACAGGAAGAGUUCUUCCGCAAUGGAUUUGAUAAGCUGAAGAUAUUCAGCAACUGGGCGAGAAUCACAUUUGGUUCAUGAUAGCUUUUCUAGUAAAGAAAGAAUUCGUGUAGCCGAUUUAUUUGCAAAGGCUACCUGAAGUUUGUUCCAUGCCUCCGCUGAGGUUUUAGAAUCUGCAAUGGUGUUCAUAAACGAGAAGGAAACCGAAGCAAUGAUAGCAGCUAGGAUUAACUGAUCUUGGCAUUCCCAAAACUCAUAAUCUGGAUUAGAAAUGUGAGUACCAUUUUUCUCAA
rnacentral:misc_RNA from 1 species